rnacentral:rRNA from 1 species
CUUAAGCAUAUCAAUAAGCGGAGGAAAAGAAACCAACAGGGAUUACCUCAGUAACGGCGAGUGAAGCGGUAAGAGCUCAAAUUUGAAAGCUGGCUCCUUCGGGGUCCGCAUUGUAAUUUGCAGAGGAUGCUUCGGGAGCGGUCCCCAUCUAAGUGCCCUGGAACGGGACGUCAUAGAGGGUGAGAAUCCCGUAUGGGAUGGGGUGUCCGCGCCCGUGUGAAGCUCCUUCGACGAGUCGAGUUGUUUGGGAAUGCAGCUCUAAAUGGGUGGUAAAUUUCAUCUAAAGCUAAAUAUUGGCCGGAGACCGAUAGCGCACAAGUAGAGUGAUCGAAAGAUGAAAAGCACUUUGAAAAGAGAGUUAAAAAGCACGUGAAAUUGUUGAAAGGGAAGCGCUUGCGACCAGACUCGCUCGCGGGGUUCAGCCGGCAUUCGUGCCGGUGUACUUCCCCGCGAGCGGGCCAACGUCGGUUUGGGCGGUCAGUCAAAGGCCCCUGGAAGGUAACGCCCCCUCGGGGGCGUCUUAUAGCCAGGGGUGCAAUGUGGCCUGCCUGGACCGAGGAACGCGCUUCGGCUCGGACGUUGGCAUAAUGGUCGUAAGCGACCCGUCUUGAAACACGGACCAAGGAGUCUAACAUCUACGCGAGUGUUCGGGUGUCAAACCCGUGCGCGAAGUGAAAGCGAACGGAGGUGGGAACCCGCAAGGGUGCACCAUCGACCGAUCCUGAAGUCUUCGGAUGGAUUUGAGUAAGAGCGUAGCUGUUGGGACCCGAAAGAUGGUGAACUAUGCCUGAAUAGGGCGAAGCCAGAGGAAACUCCCAGAGCUCGAGCGGUCUGACGU